rnacentral:rRNA from 1 species
AUUGAACGCUGGCGGCAGGCCUAACACAUGCAAGUCGAACGAGUGGCGGACGGGUGAGUAAUGUCUGGGAAACUGCCCGAUGGAGGGGGAUAACUACUGGAAACGGUAGCUAAUACCGCAUACCAUCGGAUGUGCCCAGAUGGGAUUAGCUAGUAGGUGGGGUAACGGCUCACCUAGGCGACGCUCCCUAGCUGGUCUGAGAGGAUGACCAGACACCCGGGAAAUGGGACACGGUCCAGACUCCUACGGGAGGCAGCAGUGGGGAAUAUGGCACAAGGGGCGCAAGCCUGAUGCAGCAAGGCCGCGUGUAUGAAGAAGGCCUUCGGGUUGUAAAGUACUGUCAGCGGGGAGGCGUUACCCGCAGAAGAAGCACCGGCUAACUCCGUGCCAGCAGCCGCGGUAAUAC